GAUGAAGAACGUAGCGAAAUGCGAUAAGUAGUGUGAAUUGCAGAAUUCAGUGAAUCAUCGAAUCUUUGAACGCACAUUGCGCCCCUUGGUAUUCCAUGGGGCAUGCCUGUUCGAGCGUCAUUUGAACCUUCAAGCUCUGCUUGGUGUUGGGUGUUUGUCUCGCCUCUGCGUGUAGACUCGCCUCAAAAUAAUUGGCAGCCGGCGUAUUGAUUUCGGAGCGCAGUACAUCUCGCGCUUUGCACUCAUAACGACGACGUCCAAAAGUACAUUUUUACACUCUUGACCUCGGAUCAGGUAGGGACACCCGCUGAACUUAAGCAUAUCAAUAAGCGGAGGA
rnacentral:misc_RNA from 1 species